rnacentral:rRNA from 1 species
UACGAAGGGUGCAAGCGUUGUUCGGAAUUAUUGGGCGUAAAGGGUUCGUAGGCGGGAUUAUAAGUCAAGUGUGAAAUCCCCGAGCUUAACUCGGGACGUGCAUUUGAAACUGUGAUUCUUGAGUCAUUGAGAGGGUGGUGGAAUUGUUGGUGUAGGAGUGACAUCCGUAGAGAUCAACAGGAACAUCAGAGGCGAAAGCGGCCACCUGGCAAUGUACUGACGCUGAGGAACGAAAGCGUGGGGAGCAAACAGG